UUUGGCGGGAGAUAUUGUUAAAACGUUGCUUGUCUUGCUUCGAAGUGAAAUCGUUUCGAUAAGACACUGAUAAAUCUUGUACAAAAAUGUCUAAUCCGUUGACUGCAGGAGCGAUUAAGGAAAUUUUUUUAGAUCAUAGCAAUUUGCCAAAAUCUCCUGUUUUGCAAGUGUUGGGUUUGAAAAAAGUUCAAGGCAAUCAAGGCGGAAGUGAAAGAUACCGG